rnacentral:rRNA from 1 species
UACGGAAGGGGCGAGCGUUGUUCGGAAUCAUUGGGCGGAAAGGGCGCGUAGGUGGUUCUGUAUGUCUACCGUGAAAGCGUACGGCUCAACCGUAUUUUGUCGGUAGAAACUGCAGGACUUGAGGCUGGGAGGGGCUGGUGGAAUUCCCUGUGUAGCGGUGAAAUGCGUAGAGAUGGGGGAGAACACUCGUGGCGAAGGCGGCCAGCUAGACCAGUUCUGACACUGAGGCGCGACAGCGUGGGGAGCAAACAGG